UAGGUUUAAAGGGUACCUAGACGGUAUUUUUAGCCCAAAACAGGGUACGGAUUUACUAGAGUUUUAUGUGAGAAGGGGAGUACUUAUAGAGUAAAGAUGAAAUUUUUUAAUACUAUGGGGUAACUGGUAGAGGCGAAAGCAACCUUUUAUGUAGAAACUGACGUUGAGGGACGAAGGCCCGGGUAGCAAAAAGGAUUAGAUACCCUAGUAGUCCAGGCAGAAAAUUAUGAAUGUCAUAGACUAGAAGACAAAAAAUUAACUUAUCAAACAACUUGAUAAAGAUGUAUUUUGCAAAAAGCAAAUUUAUAUACAAACCUGCUAUAAAGUUAAAACUAGUAAUGCAGGAUUAAAAAAGUAAAAGGGCUUUUUUUUGCAUGUUAGGAGUUUGUAAAGACUUUUUCACCUAGUGUAGCCUGGUUUAUAUUUUGUCUAUAAAUAAAAGUGUAAGCCUUCCCCCUCAAGAGUAAUGUGGCAACGCCGGAACUGAAAUCAUUAGACCGUUUUUGAAACCCGUAGUGAAGUAUGUUAUUUAAUUCGAUGAUCCGCGAAAAACCUUACCACAAUUUGAAUGUUAUUUAUUUAAUACCAGCGUUGCCCGGUUGUCUUUAGUUAAUGUCGUGAGAUUUUGGUUAGUUCCCUUAAAUUAACGUAAACCCUUGCUUUAUUUUUUUUUUUAUAUAAAGUAGUUCGCCAUUAUAUUGGAUAUGAUAAAAGGGAUUAAGACAAAUCAUCAUGGCCUUAAUAUUGUGGGCUAUAGACGUGCCACAUAUGCCUAUACAAAGGGAUGCAAUA
rnacentral:rRNA from 1 species